rnacentral:rRNA from 1 species
GCUAGCGGCAUGCUUAACACAUGCAAGUCGAACGGCAGCGCAGGAGCUUGCUCCUUGGCGGCGAGUGGCGACGGGUGAGUAACGCGUAGGAAUCUACCUUGUGAGGGGGACAACCCGGGGAAACUCGGGCUAAUACCGCAUAAUCUCUACGGAGCAAAGUGGGGGAUCUUCGGGACCUCACGCCAUAAGAUGAGCCUGCGUUGGAUUAGCUUGUGGUGGGUAAAGGCCUACCAAGGCGACGAUCCAUAGCUGGUCUGAGAGGACGAUCAGCCACACUGGGACUGAGACACGGCCCAGACUCCUACGGGAGGCAGCAGUGGGGAAUAUUGGACAAUGGGCGAAAGCCUGAUCCAGCAAUGCCGCGUGUGUGAAGAAGGCCUUAGGGUUGUAAAGCACUUUCAGUAGAGAAGAAAGGCUCAAAGUUAAUAGCUUUGAGAGUUGACAUUAUCUACAGAAGAAGCACUGGCUAACUCUGUG